CCUACGGGAGGCUGCAGUGAGGAAUAUUGGUCAAUGGACGAGAGUCUGAACCAGCCAAGUAGCGUGAAGGAUGACUGCCCCAUGGGUUGUAAACUUCUUUUAUAAAGGAAUAAAACGAGGCACGUGUGCCUUUUUGCAUGUACUUUAUGAAUAAGGAUCGGCUAACUCCGUGCCUGCAGCCGCGGUAAUACGGAGGAUCCGAGCGUUAUCCGGAUUUAUUGGGUUUAAAGGGGGCGUAGAUGGGUUGUUAAGUCAGUUGUUAAAGUUUGCGGCUCAACCGUAAAAUUGCAAUUGAUACUGGCAGUCUUGAGUACAGUUGAGGUAGGCGGAAUUCGUGGUGUAGCGGUGAAAUGCUUAGAUAUCACGAAGAACUCCGAUUGCGAAGGCAGCUUACUAAACUGCCACUGACAUUGAUGCUCGAAAGUGUGGGUAUCAAACAGGAUUAGAUACCCGGGUAGUC
rnacentral:rRNA from 1 species